AUGGUUCUAGCAGUGCACGUUGAAAGAGAUGCCGAACAAACCGGUAGUUAUGGCCGCUGAGUAGGACAGUUAGACCUGCAGGUUCCUUUUUUUCUGGGCGAAGAAACAGUGCAAGCAAAAAGAGAAUGUGAAAGAAGUGUCGGAGGAACUUAAGAUGGUACUGUAUGAUGUUGAGAAUUUACCCGAUGAUUUCCAGGACGCUGUGAACCAUUGUGGGAAAGAAAGACACAGAGGAGGUGCUUCUUUAUUAUGAUCCAGGAAUCACAUGCAUCUGUCAGCUUUUUCCAUGCAACUGUCGUGUUUGCUGGCAAGUGCUUGAAAACUCAGAUAUUCUGUGGUUUCUCAGUGAGAUACACCAUUUCAGUGUGGACAUGAGCAGAAUUCAGGUGUUCAUUCAAUGACAUUUCAAAAUACCCAGGCAGGACAGAACUAAUCCCUAAGAAGCAUUUGACCUGUGAAGAAGUUUGGGUCCAAUGAACCACCAACUUCUCCAUUCUUUGCAGCUGACUCAGGAGGUCCUUGAGCUAAAGCUCCAGGCCUUCCUCAUGGGAUAGCGCAGGACUAAAAGAUGUACUGAGUGAUGGAUUCGGGGUUUACAUGAUUCUGAGACACCAGGACCGUACUGUCAUUGUCUAUCUAUGUGCUGUACAUGGAUGCAGAGAUAUACAAAUACUUAAGAUUGAGAACGACAGGGAAGAAGGAAGGAAGGAAGGAAGGAAGGAAGGAAGGAAGGAAGGAAGGAAGGAAGGAAGGAAAAAAAGAACAUGUUGACUAUGAUGAUGCCUCCCUGGGCCAGUUAUCAGGAGAUGGAGUUGGAUGAGAAGUUCUAUGAAGACAAUGUGGAUGCCUUUCUCUGAAAUUCUGUAACUGCAGCCCAUGCAACGUAUUAAAGAAUAGAAAUACCACUUUCACGAAGCAAAGAAAAAAAGAAAGUUUAUAUUCUACAUGUAUAUAUGUGUAUCAUAUCACUUUCUUCCCCAAAGAAUGAAAACUGAUUUCAUUCACACCAAUAUGUUAUUUUCAAUUUGAGUCUCAUCGACUUUCACUAGGAAAUGUUGUUAUUUGUUUUACAAAGUAAUGCAAAUAUAUAUAUGCCUAUUGGGAUUCUAGUUUGUACUCUGAUGAGAUUUGUUCCAAAGGCAAGUUAGUCAGAAACAUGUGGAUUAAGUAUUUGCUUCAAGUAUGCAAGAAUUUAAAGAAACAGAAGUUUUAGCAUUUGGCAAAAUUCUCGACAAAAGUUUCGAAAAGUUAUUUGGCUCAAGUUAUGACUGCCUCUGCCCAGCCCUCUAGGAGAGCAGCAUUUGAUGUGUCUGUAGAAGGGAGGAAAAACAAUAAAGGUCAAUGCCGCUGUAUCUGCAGCAGGCGUGUCAGUUGGAGUUCACUAUUCUGCCAGGAGGACACAUUAUAUAUGUAUGCGUUGACAAAAAAGAAGACGCGUUCAAACUUCAGUAGCAAAGAUAUAAACUUGCUUUGGUCCUAGAGGUGCUUACACACAGAACACAGUAUAUUCUUUCAAUCAUACAUUUUUGGAAUGGGAACAGUGAAGAUUUUCACGUCCAUGGAGAACCCAUUUGCACGCCUUGUGGGGCUGGCAAAUGUGCCAAGCCUGCUACUAUGAAACAAUUGACAGGAAGCGUGGGGGGGGGGGAAAGCAAUCAUUUUGAUGGCAAGUUAAAAUCUCUGAAGUCCCCAGAUUGCUUCCUCUUUAGGGGCAGUGUAAACAGUAGGAAAUCAUGGCCUUGAAUGGAAAGCAAGCCCGACAGAUGUUGCCCAACAAGGAAGACUGGCUGUGGGAAUAGGCACCACGGCUGGUUGCCUGUGUGUUGAGGUAUAGGGGGUUCUGGCUGCUUAUAGUCAUACCCCACUUGGUCCAUCCUAAAUGAUCCUUCUUCCGAAAAGGUCACAGUUUAAAGUCAUAUUAAGCCAAACCUUUAAACAUCCCAGCUAAUGAUUUACCACAUAACGAUUCAAGAAAGCACAGGUGUUCCCAGCCUACCCUAGCGAAACCUGCCCCACAGGUUUGCCAAGAUGUGGUCUGGAUAUAAGUGUGUUUACCCAGAAUCCUCGGUAGCGGAAGUAGAUUCAAGGGCUGAAGUGUAAAGGCCAGGGAUUAGCUGAGAAACACUGGUAACAAUCCAUUGUCUUCCAUUUGGAGGCUUAUACCUUUCAACCUCAUACUCUAAAGUUCACUAGCAUGUUUGAGUUUCACAAUUCCCCGGAUUCCUGGCUGGUUAGCUGUCUUAGUAUAGAGUGUUCAGAUGAUUCACUAGGAUGUUUGCUUGGCAACUGUGUUGCCACUCAAAAUAUUCUAUUCAUUUCUCACCUCUAAAGUUUGUGCAUUUACAGGAGAAUUGUGGUAUCAAUUUCAGUUAAGAAUUUAAUGGAGAGAUUCAUUCAUUUCCAACUUCAAGUGAAGUUUUCUCUUUCUUAUAUAUUUUACCUAAUCUUUACUCUUAGAAAAAUAUCUAUUUUCUACCGCUCUCUCUUCAACUUGACAUCUGCUUUGUGGUCGUAUCACAUGAUUAUUUUUGGCUGAGAACCAAGUGAGGAGUUUGUUCAGAACACUGUAUUCAGAAACCCAAAGCAUUUGUCACAGACUGGGACAGGGAACAAAGCCAUUCCUAGAUACAAGAGCUGUCUAUACCGGUAAUGACCAGCAAGGGAUCUCUUGUUGCCUCUUUGAUAUCUGAGGAGUUCAUCUGUUUUUUUAUUCUCUCUCUCUCUCUCUCUCUCUCUCUCUCUCUCUCUCUCUCUCUCUCUCUUUCUCUCUGCAUACUCAUGUGUCUGUGUGUGCCCACAAGUCCAUGUCUGAUCUCAUUUUAAGUUACUCUCCUACACUCUACUUUUGAAGACAAGAUAUGUUUCUACUCCUAGAGCUCAACCUUUAUGACUAGAAUAUGUGGUUAGUAAAUCCCAGUUAUCCCCUGUCUCCAUCAACCAGCACCAUGAUUAUGGGAACACACAAUGAUGCCAGGCUUGCUUUUUUUUUUAUUUUUAGUUAAAUUAAAUUUAGUGUGUUUGGGGUGGUGCACAUGCCAUGUUGAGGACAGAGGACAACUUUCAGGAAUUGUUCUCCUCUUACACUUCAGCAUCCAGGGGCCUAGCUUAGGUCAUCAGGCUUGUGUAUCAGCCACUUUUACCCAGUCAGUUGUCUUGCCAUGCUCAAGAUUGCCUUUAUAUUGCUUUUUGGGAUUCAACUUAGACCUUCAUGAUUACACAACAAUGACUGUACAAUUCCAUCAAAAAUCCUUUCUUCUCUCAUUGGAAAUGUUAUUUUUAAUGUUAUUUGUUGAUUAUGCAAAAUGUAGAGAUUGGAAAAUAUAAAUGAAAGGAACUCUAUGGAUCCCACAGCUGUACAGGCUUCCACCUGAGCAAGAGUUGAUUAAGGGCAGAGUUUGAGUGCUGAUAGGACAUAGCUUGAUGGAAUGAGAGAACAUCCUCUCUGGAACUGGAGCAAUGGCUCCCAAUAGGAUGGGGUUUCUAAAUUCCAGGAGCAUCUCCUGUCCAUUUUGAGCCUGAACUGUUCAGUAAAGGAUUCUUCCACAGACCUCGGAGUCCUGGUUGGUUUGGAUGAAGUAAUGUAUUGCAUCUGAUGGAUUUCAGUUCUGAGGUCUUGUGAAGGGUGCUUAAAUUAAAGCAUGAUACUACUGCUCUAAUUGCAAAUUCUGAUGUUACUUCUUUGAAACUCAGAAUCAUCUCUAGCUUGUUUCAAGGAUGGAUAUAAUAAAAGCAAGCCCACUUUGUAAAUCCAAAAUAUGCUAAAAGUGUUACAAAUAUAUUAGAAUAUCGAAAUAUUAAAAACAUAAAUAUACGAGAAAGAGCACACAGUGAGUUCAUUGAUGAUUCUGUUUUCCACAGAUGUAAUAAGUAAUAUAUUAAAAAACAGAAAUGAUCUACUGUAACAUUUUCUUAUUCGGGAUGAGUUAAAAAACAAAUUUCUAUUUUUAUACCUUUUAAUAAAACAAAUUAUAUUUUUCAGUAAAGUAUUAGAAGCCAGCAAGAUCAUUGAGUGGUUAAGAACUCUGCUGAUCUGGCAGAGGACGCAGGGUUGGUUCCGAGUACCCACACUGAGUAGCUCACAGCACCCCUCAUCCCCAGCUCCAGAUAUCUGAUGCUUCCGGUUUCUGCAGAACUCAUGUGCACGUCCCACCAGAAAAGGCAUAUACAUAGAAUUAAAAAAUUGAUUUUGGAAAGUUUGAUGUUUUCAGAAUGACCACGUGUACAUUAAAGAUAGUUACUAGUAGGACACAUGAAUCAGAAGUAUUUGAUAGACGCUGAGAGGUUUUAGCUAUAAUUUAAUUUAGUUGUUCCUUUGCCAUUUUGUUGACGUUAAACACCUUAAGAUUUUGUUGUUGUUGCUGCUGUUGUUGUUUAGAGAGAAUGACCGACUGUGUGUCUCAUGGGAAAGACAUGGUAUUCAUCCAAAUAAGGACACUAAAGGAAUAAAGAAUGUAUUUCUACUCCUGGGAAGAGCCUAAACCAUAUGCCUUAGGUUUACCCAAUCACAUCCUCACUGAAGAAAUUCAGCCUUAAAUGUUCCCACUAAAUUGAAGGCUCAUAAAUUCUUCUGUAGACUCAUCCGCACUGAAAGUGGCUUUGUGAACCCAGCCACCUCAGGGAGUGUUUACAGCAGAAUGGCCACCUCUGUAGCUCCUGAUGUGUGAGAUAGACUUCCAGAGCCAGGCCUUGGUGAGUUUCCCUUUUAUCUUUCCUUUUUAUUGGCCUGUUUAUUCAAACUUUCAGGUCUCCUUCAAUCCUGAGAAUGACUUGAUGUCAACCCAACUUAUCUCUUGUUUUCUUAAGUUCUUGGAUCUGCUCUGUUGCUUGCAACAAACCUGAUCACACCUACACUCCUUUAUGCACACAACAUCUGCUGGUGUUUUUAUCUACAUAACCACUUAUCUUGUAUGAGCUUCAUGAUCUACUCUAUGUUUAUUUUAAAUCACUAUCGUUGCAAUUUACCAAUGAAAGCUUACAAAACAAAUUAUGACAUUCACUGAAUCUCAGUACGUCUGAAGGAUCACAGAACGUAAAGGAGCUACUUAUAAAUUAUGCUUUAAUUUAGGUAAAUAUAUCUAUAAAUAAUAUUAUGACCUUUAGCAAAAAUAUGUAGCUUUGAUUGGAAAUAAAUUGAGUAAGAAAGAGUCAGCCGGUAAAGAAAAUUACUGCCAAGUUGAUCAGUUCAGUUCUGUCUCCAAGACCCACAGGAUAGAAGGAGAGAACCAAUUCUUGAAAGUUGUUUUCUGGUCUAUAUUAACAUAUAAACACAUGUGUACACAGAGGGCAUGCAUGGGCAAGUGUAAGCAUGGAUGUGCAUACUAAGUAAAUAAAUAAAUCAAUAAAUCAAUAAAAAGAAAGAAUAAGUAAAUACAAUAAAUUAUUUUUAAACAGAAGCUAAAAGUAGCUGAACAGAGUCUACAAGGAUACUUGCUGUAGAAUUUCUAAAUAUUUUAGACUUGAAUAGUUUUAAAAAGUGGAUCAUAUUGAGCAGAUAUUACGACUUUGUGUGUGGAGGUAUGUGUGGGCUUGUGUGUGAAGGUAGGUGCAUAUUUUUGUGUAUGGGGCUGUGCAAGUACAUAUAAAGUUUGGGAACGAUAAUGCAGAAGUCAGAGUUCAGCCUUUUGUGUGGUUCCACUGGAACAGUUUAUCAUCAUUUCUGAAGCUAAGUCUCUUCUUGGGACUUGAAACUCCUUGGUUGUGCUACCUGUUUAUUAAGUCCUAAGAAUCUGUCUACUCCAAUGCUACCAGCACUAGGACUACAACUGCCUUCAAGCUUAGCUUGCUAUGUAAGUGCUGGGGAAAAAACUCAAGCUUUCAAGUAACAAAGUACUUACUAACCUAAUUGUUUGUUAGUGUUGAAAAGUACUAAUAGUUUUAGAUAUUUUUAAUGAUUUUAUGUUUUGGCUCACAUUUCAAUUUUCAAAUUAGGAAAUACAUAAAAAUAAUUGAAUAUUUGGCUAUUGGAGAACAACUUAUUAAUAAAAUAAUAUUAACCAACAAUAUUUUAAUAAGAAGGUUCAUAGCUGAGACACUUUACAUUUCUCCUUUUAUUCAAAAGCUGCUUGCCUUCACUCAAUCAUCUUAUGCCUCUGAAAAUUAUAUGGUUGCUUAUGUGACAAAAACCAUGAAUUGUAACAAUAACAUUUCCUGUUAUUUAAAGAUUAAGUGAAUUAAUAUUAUUGAGUCUAUAUUCUAGGUUGUUUAUUAUUGUACUAAUUGUGCCUUCCAUAUGUUGUAAAAAUUUUCAAAUGUUAAAGUCUUGUGAAUUUAUAAUGAGGAUAUUGCUAUCUGUAUCCUUAUAAAAUAGAAUAGGAAUAUUUUACUUCACUGUCUUUUUCUUAAUACAUUAUUGAUGAUUUUCUUUUGAGAUUAAACAUAAUUCUGUUUCCAGUACUUUGGAUUAAUUUUUCAUUAGCAAGAACUGACACCUGACGUUUAUGUUACAAAUAGGUAACAGAAUUCACAGGCCACUGAUUCCACUUUGAUGUCAAAUUUAUCAACAGAAAAAAAUCCUCUUUGGCUGAAUCUAGGAAAAGAAAAUGUUCAUAAGGGUGGUGAGUUUCCUAAGAAAAGACAGACGAAGCGGGGAAUUUAUUUCAGUUCCAAUUCUGAUCAUGUUUCUUUGUUUACUUGGGAGAUUUUCUUUGUGAUCCUGAAAGGGCUGUGGUUAUUCACUUUAAAGGGUAAGUAGACUUAAUGAAUCUCAUGUUUCUCCUCAGUCCAUGUGUUCCUGUGAUGAGACACACAAGCAGGUGUUUUCCAAACUGAAAAUUGCUCUGUUUUCCAAGAUAUAUUAAGAUUGAUGGUGGAUAAUACAUUUAAUUCAACUGCACACAAAUGGUUCAUUGGAAAGAGCUGAUAAGUGAGGGCAUGGCAAGGACAUCCUCUGGGAAGUGAUUGGAGAGGAGGAGCCCAGUUCUGUAAAGUCCAACAUAAGCUUCCUCCUUCCAUCUCCCCAAUUGUACUAAAGGUGUGAAGUUUUCAUAAUAAACACCAUAGUAAAAACCACAUUCCACAGCCCCGUUUUGCAUAAGGAGCUUUGGCGUUAUGCAGAUUUGGAAUUUGAUCUAAAAGUAAAGACAAGAAUGCGGGCUAGCUAUAAUUAAAACACAGCCACUCAUAAAUACAACAACCAUGCUUGUGAAAAUAUUAAAUGUUAUAACCUCCAUACUUCUGGGCUUAGCAAAUUUAGCACAAUUGGAUCUUGAUUAUUAACUGCAGGAAUUAUGACAUCCGAGGAAAGGUUUCCCUUAGCUCAGAAGCUCUCCACCCGGCUGCAAUGAGUCAGGAUUCCUGGGUGGACCAUUGGCAAAUGCAGCCAAAGACAUCUGUUAAAAGUAAAUAAAAGUUCUCCGGUUUUAGUAGGUUGUUAUGUAUUCGCUUAAGCACUGAAAGAAAAAAUAAGAAAAGCAAAGUAUAUUAAAAGUAAAAUAAGAAAUCAAAACUACAGCAGCUUAUCUUUUUAGAUAGGAAUUCCCAGACUGGCAUUUCCAUUCACAGUUCAUGCAUAAGGAAAUUUAGUAUUUAAUCAAAGUGAUACACAUACAUACUUCUAAAUGUCAUAUUGCUCUUUAGAACUUAAGGUGAAAGAAUUCAGUCUGUUGAUGCCCACAAUAUUAUUACACUGUUCAACUCCAUAAAUAUCAUUUCUCAAGGCCAAGUGUUUUCAACUCUUUUAUAUAUUACUCUUCCACCUUUCCUUCUGCACAUGUAAAGAGUUUACUAUGUCAGAUAUGUGAGAGGUACCAUGUUACUGACAGGACACACAUGAUAGACCCAGCCUCAAACAUUGUCCACAUUCUACUCCUUGUUUCUGUGUUUUCAUUAUUUUAUCAUUCAUCCAUGAAAUUGCACAUCAAUUCAUUGCAAGAUUUUAGAUCACUUUAGAAAAAAAUCAAAUGGGAUAAGGGUGGCGAUCGAGUUUAUCAGCACCUCUACCCUCUAUCGUGAUAUUUUGAAUCUCAUUCUGAAUACUAGCCAGAGGGUCACUGAGUAUUAACAAUAGAAGUAACCAUUGGGGUAACAGUCUUAAUGCCAGCAAGCCUACUACUGCUAUUCUUUUCCGUGGCUUGACACAUUGCCUUUCCUAGAAACUUUAUACUCGAAAUUAGGAGGACACAGUGCUGCUUGCAGACAGAACACAAAUCAGAACUCUGUAAGUGGAACCUUGACAUCAACAUGUCAGGUUGGGAUUCUGAACCUGUAUCAGUCAUAUGUUGAGUGACCAUCACAUGCUUACAUUCAAUACCCCAAACAGCUUUAUUUGAAAAGGUCCCUUGCAAUGAGUCAAUGGUCUGGUUCCAGCCUCUGGCUUCUGCUUCACUAUCAAUCCCAGAUCCUCACCGGGACUCCUCUCAGAGAUCCGGCCCUUUCAUGUGCUCCAGCAGUUCCCAGAUGGAACCGAGGGUGGAGUGGGCCAAGUCAAAGCUCUGUAAAGCUUUUGGGACAGAAGUGUACACUGUAUGACACUCACAUAGCACAGCGUCCAUGCUGACAGCUUUGUUUGUUUUGUUGGUUUUGUUUUCUUUAAGGGGAGGUUACAAGGACACAGGGUGAAUCUCGAGGAACAGAAACAUGAGUGGGUUUGGGGUACAUGGAGUGAAGUUUACAAAGAAUCAGUUUAAAAAGUUGAUAGUCUGACAAAUACAGAUGCAG
rnacentral:sRNA from 1 species